rnacentral:lncRNA from 1 species
GAGGAAGAGGAUGAGGCAGAAGGAGGGAGGAGGGAGACAAGAGAUGAGGGAGGAGGAAAGAUGAUAAGGGAAAGGGGAUGGGGGGAAGGAAGGGGAUGAGAAUGGGAUGUGGGAGGGGGAAGUGGCUCCAGAACUGUUCUCCUCCCUCCACCGUUCCCUCCUCCCUCCAGGCCGGGCCUGACCCACAGCGCCUCCCUAAAGGCCAGGUAGCCCCGGACAGCGGUAGCGGCUAGAAGAGUCCCCAGCACAACCACCAUCAGUGCUAGGUCUCUGUGACUGCGGGGUCGGACGGUCUGGGAGGUCAGGGGCUCCAGGGGUUCGUUGGACUCUCUGGGCCCUGGGCUCCCUGGAAGCUCCAUGAUAGGAGAUAGAGGCUCGAGGAUACCACAGACUGGGAGGGGCGCUGCUCGGGGGAAGGGGAGGGGGAAGCUCUCAGUUAACGGACCGGGAGGGGUGUGGACAGAACCAUUGACUGACAGCCAGGGAGGGGCGGGCCCGGAGUCCGCCAGACAAAUGGAGAUCCUUAGAAUCCUUGGGAGGCAAGUGAACGAGAACUGACACUCUCCCCCUGUCACCCAAAGCGAAACGGAACCCCUGCUAUAGAGAGGUAUAGACAAGCAAAGCAAAUUCCCAAUUCCCAGAUUUUAGAUUACCUCCCAAACUGCAAAGCUCAUUCUACAUUCGUAGUUCAUCAUCCAUCUAUGGAGAGGUGAGAAGCUUUCUUUAUGUCUCCUCUGGAAUCCUUGCAUUAAUCAGAACACCGAGUUUUCCAUUUGACAGUGUUGUUAUACAGUUAUUCUCUUGGUUUUGUGUUACCUGACUCUGCCCACCUGGUUUUGCAUCAGUUUGUAGAAAUCUUACCGGAUUUCUCUAAAAUGAUGCUUUCCCUCAUUUCUUAUGGCACAAUAGUAUUUCAUUGCAGUCAUAUGCCAUAAUUGGCUUACCCAUUUCUUAAUUGUUGGGUACCCCUUUAUUUUCUGUUUCUUUGCAUUGACAAGAAGGGCUCUGCAGAUUUUUGUAUUCAUGGGAUCUUUUCUUUUUUCUUCAAUCUUUUUGGGAUCUAAGACUGGUAGUGGAAUUGCUGGAUCAGAGAGUAGGUACAGUUUAGCAAUAUAAUCUCAGCUUUGGUCAGGCUCAGUCUAUUAUUAUGGAAGAGAUUCUGACAAGAAGAGAUGCUCCAAGUCAUUACAAAUCUUUUUAAUAGUAGCACAUUGAUACUACUAUCAGAGGUGGGAGUGGAUAUGAAUAAGGUUCAGAGACUAGGGGCACAAGCUACAAUCCUAUGGAAAAGAGUAAGGAAGAGAAAGAAGGAAUAACAUGGAAGAGGUGGUCAUUCAGGGAGUAAGGUAAUAGCUGCUGGGGUGGGAGGUAGAAGAUUGAUUUCUGGGCAUCAGCCAAGUGUAGGAGAUAUGCAUGCAGUCAAGGACUCCUAGUGAUUGUUCCACUGACCAAGGAUUUGAGUGGGGGUUUUCUAAG